rnacentral:misc_RNA from 1 species
UCCGGUUUGACACCGGCAGUCUCGCUAGAGUCCCCGACAUGACUCGCUGGCAACUAGCGACAGGGGUUGCGCUCGUUAAGGGACUUAACCCGACACUUCACAGCACGAGCUGACGACAGCCAUGCAGCACCUGUGCACGUUCCACCCUUGCGGGUGUGGCUCCUGUUUCCAAGAGUUAAUCCGUGCAUGUCAAGCCCAGGUAAGGUUCUUCGCGUUGCUUCGAAUUAAGCAACAUGCUCCACCGCUUGUGUGAGCCCCCGUCAAUUCCUUUGAGUUUUAGCCUUGCGACCGUACUUCCCAGGCGGUGCACUUAACAAUUUCUCUCCGACCGACAGCGGGUCAGACCGCUCCCGAUCCAGUGCACAUCGUUUAGGGCGUGGACUAC